AUGGAAGAAAUUGACAUGGUGUACAAGAAGGAGCUGGCUUUACAGUCUGGCAUUAAGCACUGGGGAGGAAUUCCUUAUUUAGGUGGUGAGCUCACAUUCAUUUCAGAUCAUGUGGAUGUUACCAAAAUCUUGCCUUAUGUUGCAGUUUCCAACCGUAGAGGCUUGUUAUAUGCAUUUGGUUUCCUCAACCUGGAGUUAAAUACAGGCUUGUCACUGAAUGAGCUUAUAUCACUCUUUGUGUCAUUGAAUAAGCUUGUAUCACUCAAAAGUCAAAACAUACUGGUGCAAACGAGCCUGGCUUUGUUUAAUAGCACCAUCAAGACCAAAUAUUGA
rnacentral:rRNA from 1 species